rnacentral:rRNA from 1 species
UACGUAGGGUGCGAGCGUUUGUCCGGAUUUAUUGGGCGUAAAGAGCGUGUAGGCGGUUUGGUAGGUCCGCUGUGAAAACUCGAGGCUCAACCUCGAGACGCCGGUGGAAACCAUCAGACUAGAGUCCGGAAGAGGAGAGUGGAAUUCCUGGUGUAGCGGUGAAAUGCGCAGAUAUCAGGAAGAACACCCGUGGCUAAGGCGGCUCUCUAGUACGGUACUGACGCUGAGACGCGAAAGCGUGGGGAGCGAACAGG